rnacentral:rRNA from 1 species
GAUGAACGCUGGCGGCGUGCCUAAUACAUGCAAGUCGAGCGAACAGACGAGGAGCUUGCUCCUCUGACGUUAGCGGCGGACGGGUGAGUAACACGUGGAUAACCUACCUAUAAGACUGGGAUAACUUCGGGAAACCGGAGCUAAUACCGGAUAACAUGUUGAACCGCAUGGUUCAACAGUGAAAGACGGUCUUGCUGUCACUUAUAGAUGGAUCCGCGCCGCAUUAGCUAGUUGGUAAGGUAACGGCUUACCAAGGCAACGAUGCGUAGCCGACCUGAGAGGGUGAUCGGCCACACUGGAACUGAGACACGGUCCAGACUCCUACGGGAGGCAGCAGUAGGGAAUCUUCCGCAAUGGGCGAAAGCCUGACGGAGCAACGCCGCGUGAGUGAAGAAGGUCUGCGGAUCGUAAAACUCUGUUAUUAGGGAAGAACAAAUGUGUAAGUAACUAUGCACGUCUUGACGGUACCUAAGCAGAAAGCCACGGCUAACUACGU